CCGAGCGAGGGCCUCCGGUCCGACCUCCAACCCUUUGUUGACCGACACCUGUUGCCUCGGGGGGACCUGGACGCCGACGCGUCGGCGUCGGGCACCCCGACGGACCAUUCUAACUCUUGUGUCUGUACGUCGGAGAACUUUGCGAAUCAAUUA
rnacentral:misc_RNA from 1 species